rnacentral:rRNA from 1 species
AUUGAACGCUGGCGGCAGGCCUAACACAUGCAAGUCGAACGGUAACAGGAAACAGCUUGCUGUUUCGCUGACGAGUGGCGGACGGGUGAGUAAUGUCUGGGAAACUGCCUGAUGGAGGGGGAUAACUACUGGAAACGGUAGCUAAUACCGCAUAACGUCGCAAGACCAAAGAGGGGGACCUUCGGGCCUCUUGCCAUCGGAUGUGCCCAGAUGGGAUUAGCUAGUAGGUGGGGUAACGGCUCACCUAGGCGACGAUCCCUAGCUGGUCUGAGAGGAUGACCAGCCACACUGGAACUGAGACACGGUCCAGACUCCUACGGGAGGCAGCAGUGGGGAAUAUUGCACAAUGGGCGCAAGCCUGAUGGAGCCAUGCCGCGUGUAUGAAGAAGGCCUUCGGGUUGUAAAGUACUUUCAGCGGGGAGGAAGGGAGUAAAGUUAAUACCUUUACUCAUUGACGUUACCCGCAGAAGAAGCACCGGCUAACUCCGUG